GCCGCUAUGGUGAAAUUGGUAGACACGCUGCUCUUAGGAAGCAGUGCGAAAGCAUCUCGGUUCGAGUCCGAGUGGCGGCA
rnacentral:tRNA from 10 species